GUCUAGAGCCAUGCCACCCUGAACGUGCCCGAUCUCGUCUGAUCUCAGAAGCUGAGCAGGGUUGGGCCUGGUUAGUACUUAGAUGGGAGACCACCUAGGAAGACCAGGUGCUGCAGGCG
rnacentral:rRNA from 1 species